UACAGAGGUCCCAAGCGUUGUUCGGAUUCACUGGGCGUAAGGGUGCGCAGGUGGUCGGGUAAGUCUGACGUGAAAUCCCGCAGCUUAACUGCGGAAUGGCAUUGGAUACUAUUCGGCUAGAGGGUUGGAGGGGGGACUGGAAUUCUCGGUGUAGCAGUGAAAUGCGUAGAUAUCGAGAGGAACACCAGUGGCGAAGGCGAGUCCCUGGACAACUCCUGACGCUGAGGCACGAAAGCUAGGGGAGCAAACAGG
rnacentral:rRNA from 1 species